rnacentral:lncRNA from 1 species
AAGAAUGUUUGCUGACACUAUACCAUAAGGGUAUGUUGGAUGGGACAUACAUUUUGCAUUCAACAGGCAAUCAACCGUACGGACAUUCAGCGAGUUGUUGUUACAGUUCGUUUACCUGUAGCGAGCGUAAAGCUAUCUCCAUCUCACUCACUAGAUACAAGAGCCAUCUAAGUAAUUGCCCCCCUACAGACCGGCGUGUACAUAUCAACAAGACAACAACCCAAACAGACAACCCACUUUAGCAAGGGUUUCAUGAGAAUCGAUAUUUUUUUUUUAUUUUUUGCUAAAAUAGCAAGAAUCUGCAGGAAGGUAAGUUAUCCUAUCCGAAAAUAUCAUUCUGAAUUUGACUCUGAUCACAAGUCUUGAAAGUACUGACUACUAUACAAAAGCAG